AACUGAUACUACCUGCGGGAACCUGCGGAAGGAUCAUCAUUGAACCUCUAAAUAUCAUACCACACCUCUUCGGGCUGGGCCUCUCGGGGUCCCAGCUCGUGUGCACAGUGGUCUCGGAGGUGCGCAAGCGCCGAGGCCGGGAAGGGUUUUCGGGGGGAGCGAGAGCUUGCUCUCUCUUCGCCCGCCCUUCUAUUUUUUUUCUUGAAACUCCAUUUCCUGAAAAAAAAACGCUCUUGAUAU
rnacentral:misc_RNA from 1 species